GACGAACGCUGGCGGCGUGCCUAAUACAUGCAAGUCGAGCGGAUCUUCAUUAGCUUGCUUUUGAAGAUCAGCGGCGGACGGGUGAGUAACACGUGGGCAACCUGCCUGUAAGACUGGGAUAACUUCGGGAAACCGGAGCUAAUACCGGAUAAUCCUUUCCCUCACAUGAGGGAAAGCUGAAAGACGGUUUCGGCUGUCACUUACAGAUGGGCCCGCGGCGCAUUAGCUAGUUGGUGAGGUAACGGCUCACCAAGGCGACGAUGCGUAGCCGACCUGAGAGGGUGAUCGGCCACACUGAGACUGAGACACGGCCCAGACUCCUACGGGAGGCAGCAGUAGGGAAUCUUCCGCAAUGGACGAAAGUCUGACGGAGCAACGCCGCGUGAGCGAUGAAGGCCUUCGGGUCGUAAAGCUCUGUUGUCAGGGAAGAACAAGUAUCGGAGUAACUGCCGGUACCUUGACGGUACCUGACCAGAAAGCCACGGCUAACUACGUGCCAGCAGCCGCCGUAACAC
rnacentral:rRNA from 1 species